GAGACUUACAGGCAAAGACAACCACAGGCUGAAAGUGAAAGUAUCUCUGGAUUCUUCCUGGAGGAAAAAGGCUGGAAGACAAAGUGACCAGCCUUGAACAUUCAGACACCAUUAAAGAAAAGAAAAUAAGUAACCAUGAUCCAAAUAUACAAGAAUUCUGGGGCAACAUUAAGAGACCAAAUUUAAGAAUCACUGGAAUUGAAGAGGAUUGUGAGAUGCCGGCUCAUUAAAUGGAUACCUGCUUCAGGAAAAUAAUAACAUAAAAAUUUCCAAACCUUGAGACUGAGUGCAGCAAAAUAACCGGGGGGUGACGAACAACUUGUGUAGAUUGAUACAGCAGGAGAGGGAGCCGUUUAUUGCAGGACAGGAGCAGUAUUUAUACAUUCCACACAGCUUAUCUAAUUAGCAUAAACUAGAUACAUCAGUCAACCAAUAAGAAAUCUCCACACUUAAUGGCUCACUUUUGUUACUUCUCAAACCACUCCCUCUGGCCUUUUGCCAGGCACCAUCCAGACUUGUUUACAAACUCUAACAUUCCCCUGGCAAAAUGCCAGGUGUUAUUUUGACUUGUUUACAGACUCUAACAACUGAGAUGGACUUCCAGAUAGGAGGCAUUCAGAAUCCCACACAGAAUUUUUAAAGGCUUCAGAGAAAAAAUCAUCAAUGCCUCAUUUAGGGGCAAACCCAUCAGAAUUGCUUCUGAUUUUUCAGCAUAAACUCUAAAAGUCAGGAGGGCUUGGAAUGAUGUGUUCCAAGUCCUGAAAGAAAAUAACCAUUAACCAAGAUUGCUAUAUCCAGCAAAGCUAUCCUUCAGAAUCAAGGAAAUAAGAACCUUUCAUGUUAAGCAGAAACUAAAAGAAUUCAUGACUACAAAGCUGGCAUCACAGAACUUAUUUAAAGAAAUACCCCACACAGAAGAAGAAGAAAAAAAAAAACCCAGAGUUCACAAAUGAACAAAUCUCAUUUGAAGAGUAGCUAAGCAAAUUAGAAACAGGACCAAAUUAAACAUUAGAAAUAAAUCAAAAUGGCAGGAAUCAAUAAGCUUCUGAUUAUAGUAACAUUGAAUAUAAAUGGUCUCAACUCUCCAAUUAAAAGAUAAACAUUGACAGGAUGAAUUUAAAAACAAGACCUAAUUACAUCUUGUUUGCAAGAGACUUACAGGCAAAGAUAAUCACAGGCUGAAAGUGAAAGUACUAAAAUUGAUAUAACAGGCAAAUGGAGCCUAGAAACAAGAAGGAUUAGCUACUCUCAUGGUGGACAGAGUAGACUUCAAGCCAAAAUUAAUCAGAAGUGACAAAGAUGGUCACUUACACUGGUAAAGGGAACAAUUCAACAAGAAGAUCUUAUGAUAGUAAAUAUUUAUGCCCCAAACUUCGGUGCACAUAAUUACAUAAAAGAGACACUAGCCGAACACGAUAGCACACCCCUGCAAUCCCAGCAACUCAGGAGGUUGAGGCAGGAGGAUCACAAGUUCAAGGCCAACCUUAGCAAAUUAGUGAGACACUAAGAAAUUUACUGAGACUGCGUCUCAGAAUAAAAAAAUAAAAUGGGCUAGGGAUGUGGCUCAGUGGUAAAGCAUCCCUGGGUUCAAUUAUCAACAAGAGAGAGAAGAAAGAGACAGAGAGAGGGACAAGUCAAAUUAAGACCUCACAUAGAACCCAGUGCAAUAUUACUGUCACCAGGAUAUAGGUCAUCCAGACAUAAACUCAGUAAAGACUCUUUUAGACUUGAAAAAAUAUAUAUGCAUAAAAUGAAUUUAAUGGACAUCUACA
rnacentral:lncRNA from 1 species